rnacentral:misc_RNA from 1 species
GUUGCCUCUGAGACUAGGCUUUUUGCUUGCUACGGCUUCCCUGUGCCCCAUAUGGCAGAGGGAGCUUCCCUUCCGGCCCAGAUCGAGGGUUCCCCCUUCCUACCUCUAGGUUGGGUGUAAAUAUGGUAUCUUUCGUGCAAACUUUUGUCUGCAGAUCUAAGGGAGAGCUUAGGGAGGGACUUUGAAGUGAUCUGCAUGUUCAAAUUGUUAAAGUAUGGGUGGUUUGGAUCGUCGAUGGGAGCUUUCCUCAUGAUGACACAAUUUGGGUAGCCUUGCCGUGGGGGUGUGAUGUCGCCGUAAGGAAUGGUACCUUUGGGGUCUUCUACCGGCCAAGCUGCAGCUGUGAAGUGUAGACCCUUGAAGGCAACAUGCUGAGAGAGUUCUACCAUUCGGCCCUCCACGCGAGCCACAGAGGAGGAAUUGCCUUUUUUGUGUGUUGGGAGGCCUCCUUAAUGUUUUGGAAGGUUGUCCUUGAUGAGUUUGUGAAUGCUUUUUUUGGGCUUUAUUGGGAGUUGACAGACGAAAGGCCGGCUUCUUCUCCCUUCCAAAUGGUGUUUGAAGCAGCAACACUACCGACCGGUGGCUGCAUU